AUUGAACGCUGGCGGCAGGCCUAACACAUGCAAGUCGAGCGGUUGAGGGGAGCUUGCUCCCUGAUUCAGCGGCGGACGGGUGAGUAAUGCCUAGGAAUCUGCCUAUUAGUGGGGGACAACGUUUCGAAAGGAACGCUAAUACCGCAUACGUCCUACGGGAGAAAGCAGGGGACCUUCGGGCCUUGCGCUAAUAGAUGAGCCUGGGUCGGAUUAGCUAGUUGGUGAGGUAAUGGCUCACCAAGGCGACGAUCCGUAACUGGUCUGAGAGGAUGAUCAGUCAAACUGGAACUGAGACACGGUUCGGACUCCUACGGGAGGCAGCAGUGGGGAAUAUUGGACAAUGGGCGAAAGCCUGAUCCAGCCAUGCCGCGUGUGUGAAUAAGGUCUUCGGAUUGUAAAGCACUUUAAGUUGGGAGGAAGGGUUGUAGAUUAAUACUCUGCAAUUUUGACGUUACCGACAGAAUAAGCACCGGCUAACUCUGUGCCAGCAGCCGCCGUAAGAC
rnacentral:rRNA from 1 species